CCUACGGGGCGCAGCAGUGGGGAAUAUUGGGCAAUGGGGGGAACCCUGAUGCAGCGACGCCGCGUGAGUGAAGAAGGUCUUCGGAUCGUAAAACUCUGUCCCAUGGGAAGAAGAAGACGGUACCAUGGGAGGAAGCCCCGGCUAACUACGUGCCAGCAGCCGCGGUAACACGUAGGGGGCGAGCGUUGUCCGGAAUCACUGGGCGUAAAGGGUGCGUAGGCGGCCAGUUAAGUUGGAUGUGAAAGGUCCCGGCUCAACCGGGGAUGUGCAUUCAAAACUGGUUGGCUUGAGUGCAGGAGAGGAAAGCGGAAUUCCCGGUGUAGCGGUGAAAUGCGUAGAUAUUAUGAGGAACACCAGUGGCAAAGGCGGCCUGCUGGACAUCAACUGACGCUGAUGCGCGAAAGCGCGGGGAGCAAACAGGAUUAGAUACCCGAGUAGUC
rnacentral:rRNA from 1 species